GUGCUCGCUUCGGCAGCACAUAUACUAAAAUUGGAAGGAUACAGAGAAGAUUAGCAUGGCCCCUGUGCAAGGAUGACAUACAAAUUCGUGAAGCAUGCCAUAUUAAA